rnacentral:antisense_RNA from 1 species
GGUGGGAGCUGGCUUGCCUGCGAUAGCGGUGGUCCAGUAAACCCUGUGAUGACUGCCGGACCGCUAUCGCAGGCAAGCCAGCUCCCACA